CCUACGGGUGGCAGCAGUGAGGAAUAUUGGUCAAUGGACGAGAGUCUGAACCAGCCAAGUAGCGUGAAGGAUGACUGCCCUAUGGGUUGUAAACUUCUUUUAUAUGGGAAUAAAACGUUCCACGUGUGGGAUUUUGUAUGUACCAUAUGAAUAAGGAUCGGCUAACUCCGUGCCAGCAGCCGCGGUAAUACGGAGGAUCCGAGCGUUAUCCGGAUUUAUUGGGGUUAAAGGGAGCGUAGGUGGAUUGUUAAGUCAGUUGUGAAAGUUUGCGGCUCAACCGUAAAAUUGCAGUUGAAACUGGCAGUCUUGAGUACAGUAGAGGUGGGCGGAAUGCGUGGUGUAGCGGUGAAAUGCUUAGAUAUCACGAAGAACUCCGAUUGCGAAGGCAGUUCACUGGACUGCAACUGACACUGAGGCUCGAAAGUGUGGGUAUCAAACAGGAUUAGAUAUCCCAGUAGUC
rnacentral:rRNA from 1 species